UCGGAGGAAGGUGGGGAUGACGUCAAAUCAUCAUGCCCCUUAUGACCUGGGCUACACACGUGCUACAAUGGUUGGUACAACGAGUUGCGAGUCGGUGACGGCGAGCUAAUCUCUUAAAGCCAAUCUCAGUUCGGAUUGUAGGCUGCAACUCGCCUACAUGAAGUCGGAAUCGCUAGUAAUCGCGGAUCAGCACGCCGCGGUGAAUACGUUCCCGGGCCUU
rnacentral:rRNA from 1 species